rnacentral:ncRNA from 1 species
GACGAUGUCCACGCCCGGUUGCACGUCGGGGUUGCCGGCCUUGCCAAUGGCCACAAUGCGGCUGUCUCUGAGGCCAAUGUCGGCCUUGAUGAUGCCCCAGUGGUCGAUGAUCAGGGCGUUGGUCAUGACCGUAUCCACUGCCCCUUGUGCCCUGCUGCGCUGGCUUUGCGCCAUGCCGUCGCGGAU